UAAUACGGAGGGUGCAAGCGUUAAUCGGAAUUACUGGGCGUAAAGCGUGCGUAGGUGGUUUAUUAAGUCAGAUGUGAAAGCCCUGGGCUUAACCUAGGAACUGCAUUUGAAACUGGCAGACUAGAGUACUGUAGAGGGGGGUAGAAUUUCAGGUGUAGCGGUGAAAUGCGUAGAGAUCUGAAGGAAUACCGGUGGCGAAGGCGGCCCCCUGGACAGAUACUGACACUCAGAUGCGAAAGCGUGGGGAGCAAACAGGAUUAGAUACCCUGGUAGUCCACGCCGUAAACGAUGUCUACUUGGAGGUUGUGGCCUUGAGCCGUGGCUUUCGGAGCUAACGCGUUAAGUAGACCGCCUGGGGAGUACGGUCGCAAGAUUA
rnacentral:rRNA from 1 species